GAUGAACGCUGGCGGCGUGCCUAAUACAUGCAAGUCGAGCGAACAGAUAAGGAGCUUGCUCCUUUGACGUUAGCGGCGGACGGGUGAGUAACACGUGGGUAACCUACCUAUAAGACUGGAAUAACUCCGGGAAACCGGGGCUAAUGCCGGAUAACAUGUUGAACCGCAUGGUUCUACAGUGAAAGGCGGCUUUGCUGUCACUUAUAGAUGGACCCGCGCCGUAUUAGCUAGUUGGUGAGGUAACGGCUCACCAAGGCAACGAUACGUAGCCGACCUGAGAGGGUGAUCGGCCACACUGGAACUGAGACACGGUCCAGACUCCGACGGGAGGCAGCAGUAGGGAAUCUUCCGCAAUGGGCGAAAGCCUGACGGAGCAACGCCGCGUGAGUGAUGAAGGUCUUCGGAUCGUAAAACUCUGUUAUUAGGGAAGAACAAAUGCGUAAGUAACUGUGCGCGUCUUGACGGUACCUAAUCAGAAAGCCACGGCUAACUACGUG
rnacentral:rRNA from 1 species